rnacentral:rRNA from 1 species
AACGCGAAGAACCUUACCUAGCCUUGACAUUGAUAGAAUACCCUAGAGAUAGAGUAGUGCCCUCCGGGGAACUUGAAAACAGGUGCUGCACGGCUGUCGUCAGCUCGUGUCGUGAGAUGUUGGGUUAAGUCCCGCAACGAGCGCAACCCUCGUCCUUAGUUGCCAGCAGGUUAAGCUGGGCACUCUAAGGAGACUGCCUUCGUAAGGAGGAGGAAGGUGAGGACGACGUCAAGUCAUCAUGGCCCUUAUGGCUAGGGCUACACACGUGCUACAAUGGGGCGUACAGAGAGUUGCGAUACCGCGAGGUGGAGCCAAUCUCACAAAGCGUCUCUCAGUUCGGAUUGAAGUCUGCAACUCGACUUCAUGAAGCUGGAAUCACUAGUAAU